ensembl:lncRNA
AUUCUGUGAGAAAUGAUUUGUACUUGUAUUAAAUGACUAUUUUUAAUUUAUACAGGAUAGAGAGUCUAUACUGGACAGUCCACAUUUUCCUCCAAUCCCACUAAGUGAACCCAAGUACAGGACAACAGAACAGGCACAAGAGGGUGCUCUGAGCCAGGUCAACUAUCACAACAUGGCAGAAUCACACCGUCCUGCAUAUUUCCAAGAGCCCCCUUACCUGGCUGAUGGUGGAGAAGGGAUGGUUUGUGGCAAAGAGUUACAUGCUGAUUCAGAGGUGCCUUCCCAGCCUGUUCCAGGUGCCAAGAACCCAGCAAUUGAGAAUGAAUCAUGCACUCACCACAAAUAUCACUUUAACUUUGUUGCCUUAUUGUUUUUAGUCAUUUCUGCUAUGUAUACAUGGAUAAACUAUGGCUGUCACUAUGAGUUAUAUUAGUAAUCAAGUAAUCUACAGAUUAUGAGGUAACACUAUAUUUGGAUAAGCCUACGUGUAGAUGUUUUUUGCCAUAUAGAUACUUACUUUGCCCUUAACUUGCCAUUCGCAACGCUAAUCUUAACCUGCACCAAAAACCUAAUUGUAAUCCUAACCAUAACAUUGAGAAUCAAUUUAGUUUUACCAAAUAGUUUGUUAACAAUCUGUAAAUAAUCUAUAAGGGACUGUCCAAAUAAAGUGAGACAGAUUAUUCUGACAAUACAUUGAGUUAUCAGUUUUACAUUCAGGAGACAUAUUUUUAGGUCUCUAAAUAUUCUCUUGUCCAUGUACCAAGACAUGUUACACUCUGUUAGCUUGUAAAAGCUAUAUAUGUGAUAGACCUGCAUUGCAGUUAACAAUAAAUGUAAGGUGUUAUGAGUAAUCACUGUUUUUACAGCACUAUGUUACUAAAAGUGAUUUCUGAAAGAAAAAUAACAGCAAUUAAUAAGAUGUGAAAAAAUGUGUUCUCCCAUUGGCUGGGGUGGUUGGGGGUUUAGGCAAACAAUAAGCCAAAUUAAAUGUCCUCACAUCUUUAGCCUGAAAGUCCCACUUUGGGCAGCCCUACUUUAUGAGAAAAAGAUGCUCUGCAAGUACAAGGAAAAGUAAAACACUUUAAAAAUUAUUUUAAAUAUACAGUAUAAGAAAUAUGUAACACAAAAUAUAAGAACACAGUGUAGCAUAAAAAGUGUAUGCAGUGAGAGG